GGUAUAGCCAAGCGGUAAGGCAACGGACUUUGACUCCGUCAUUCACAGGUUCAAAUCCUGUUAUC
rnacentral:tRNA from 1 species